rnacentral:rRNA from 1 species
UGGUGGAGUGAUUUGUCUGGUUAAUUCCGAUAACGAACGAGACCUUAACCUGCUAAAUAGCCAGGCCGGCUUUGGCUGGUCGCGGGCUUCUUAGAGGGACUGUUGGCGUCUAGCCGACGGAAGUUUGAGGCAAUAACA